UCCCCCCCCACCAGAAAUCACUUCUGAAAUUUUAAUCCUUUUAUCAAAAUGUAAAGGAAAAACAAGGAAAUAACAGUUAAUUAUAAUUUCCAUAUAAAGCGUAACCUUACUGAAGAUCAAGGUUAUACAAAACCAUAAUGAUGUUUUUCGAAUGUAUUGGGACUUUGUGCUAUUAUUGGGGUUAAAGUGCACAGUUGGGCGGCAUUAGCAAAAACGGUCACCCACAAAAUAUGUUAAGCGCCGAAUUGCUCAAGUUUUAUUAUGGCUUUCUCUAUUUCUUAUUCUCGCCUAUUCAAUUUUUUUUUUCAUCCUACGGCCAGAAAGACUUAAAAGCGUAGCAGCGGCGUUAUUUAAGUUGCAUGUCUUUGCGAAAUAAGGAGUGCGGAGUAUAACACAAAAAGCUACCAUAAGGCCUUUAAUCUUCUUACAUCUGCAACUCAGGAAGUAGAACAUUUAAUGCCAUCAGAAGAAUUCCUUGAACUAAUGGCAUAAUUCCUUUUGUGGAGCAUAAAAAAAAAAAAAAAAAAAAAAAAAAGAGAGUUUUUUAAGAUUUAAAGUUGUGAAUCAAAAUUGGGUGAAGUAUUUGUCAAGCUUCAGAUUACCACUUACCAUCUUUCAUCUCAGUAUCCAAGAUUCCUGAGUUUUAUCGCGAUGGCAUAGCAGAGCUAGUCACUCGUUGGCAGAAGGCACUGGAUGCCAAUGAUUAGUUGGUGAUUAAUUUGAAGAUUAGCAGGGAUUAUUUUUUGUUUUAUGACCUUUUUCUUUCUGGUUGUCCAAAACGACAAGAACUUUUUUGGUUACCUUGUAGUUUAUAGAAUGAAAUUUGAAAUUGCAAUGCUAGUUUAAAACUGAUUUUUUCAAAUCUUUCUGAUGGUAAAUUAUAUUUACUCAAAGGAAACAUUAAAAAUUGGUACUAAUGUGUAAAAGGCCUUUGUAGAUGUUAAAUUGCUUGUUUUUAUUAAGAAUUUCAUUUAUGCUAUUACCCGAUGUAUAUCCAGUUCUACACUGCUGGCCACCGUAAAUGCAACACCCUGAAGGAAGCAUGUAAAUAACAUGAAAUUUACAACAUGCAUUAGCAGAGGUGAGAUAUGCAAAUGAUUAGAAUUUUAGCACAGAUGCACAUCACAUGCGCCUGUGGCGCCACUUCAAAGUGCUAUUUAAGGCUUGGAGUUUUCGACGAUUUCAAGUUUGGCAAUUGUGUUUUUCUUGUGGUUUAAAAAAAAAAAAAAAAAAAACGAUCAAUUAUGCUUUGU